CUUCGGUUCCCAGCGGCGGACGGGUGAGUAACACGUGGGUAACCUGCCUCAAAGAGGGGGAUAGCCUCCCGAAAGGGAGAUUAAUACCGCAUAACAUUAUUUUCUCGCAUGAGAAGAUAAUCAAAGGAGCAAUCCGCUUUGAGAUGGACCCGCGGCGCAUUAGCUAGUUGGUGAGGUAACGGCUCACCAAGGCGACGAUGCGUAGCCGGCCUGAGAGGGUGAACGGCCACAUUGGAACUGAGAUACGGUCCAGACUCCUACGGGAGGCAGCAGUGGGGAAUAUUGCACAAUGGGCGAAAGCCUGAUGCAGCAACGCCGCGUGAGUGAUGAAGGCCUUCGGGUUGUAAAGCUCUGUCUUCUGGGACGAUAAUGACGGUACCAGAGGAGGAAGCCACGGCUAACUACGUGCCAGCAGCCGCGGUAAUACGUAGGUGGCAAGCGUUGUCCGGAUUUACUGGGCGUAAAGGAUGCGUAGGCGGAUACUUAAGUCAGAUGUGAAAAUCCCGGGCUUAACUUGGGAACUGCAUUUGAAACUGGGUAUCUAGAGUGUGGGAGAGGAAAGUGGAAUUCCUAGUGUAGCGGUGAAAUGCGUAGAGAUUAGGAAGAACACCAGUGGCGAAGGCGACUUUCUGGACCAUAACUGACGCUGAGGCAUGAAAGCGUGGGGAGCAAACAGGAUUAGAUACCCUGGUAGUCC
rnacentral:rRNA from 1 species